rnacentral:rRNA from 1 species
GACGAACGCUGGCGGCGUGCUUAACACAUGCAAGUCGAACGGAAAGGCCCUGCUUUUGUGGGGUGCUCGAGUGGCGAACGGGUGAGUAACACGUGAGUAACCUGCCCUUGACUUUGGGAUAACUUCAGGAAACUGGGGCUAAUACCGGAUAGGAGCUCCUGCUGCAUGGUGGGGGUUGGAAAGUUUCGGCGGUUGGGGAUGGACUCGCGGCUUAUCAGCUUGUUGGUGGGGUAGUGGCUUACCAAGGCUUUGACGGGUAGCCGGCCUGAGAGGGUGACCGGCCACAUUGGGACUGAGAUACGGCCCAGACUCCUACGGGAGGCAGCAGUGGGGAAUAUUGCACAAUGGGCGGAAGCCUGAUGCAGCAACGCCGCGUGCGGGAUGACGGCCUUCGGGUUGUAACCCGUUUUCGCCUGUGACGAAGCGUGAGUGACGGUAAUGGGUAAAGAAGCACCGGCUAACUACGUG